rnacentral:rRNA from 1 species
AACGAACGCUGGCGGCAGGCCUAAUACAUGCAAGUCGAGCGCUCUAGCAAUAGAGAGCGGCGCACGGGUGCGUAACGCGUGGGAAUGUACCUCUAGGUGCGGAACAACGUCGGGAAACUGACGCUAAUACCGCAUAAUAUCUCCGGAUCAAAGAUUUAUCGCCUAGGGAUCAGCCCGCGUUGGAUUAGCUAGUUGGUGAGGUAAUGGCUCACCAAGGCGACGAUCCAUAGCUGGUCUGAGAGGAUGAUCAGCCACACUGGGACUGAGACACGGCCCAGACUCCUACGGGAGGCAGCAGUAAGGAAUAUUGGACAAUGGAGGAAACUCUGAUCCAGCCAUGCCGCGUGAGUGAAGAAGGCCUUCGGGUUGUAAAGCUCUUUUAGAUGUGACGAUGAUGACGGUAGCAUCAGAAAAAGCUCCGGCUAACUUCGUG